rnacentral:rRNA from 1 species
AGUGAACGCUGGCGGUAGGCCUAACACAUGCAAGUCGAACGGCAGCACAGUAAGAGCUUGCUCUUACGGGUGGCGAGUGGCGGACGGGUGAGGAAUACAUCGGAAUCUACUUUUUCGUGGGGGAUAACGUAGGGAAACUUACGCUAAUACCGCAUACGACCUACGGGUGAAAGCAGGGGAUCUUCGGACCUUGCGCGAUUGAAUGAGCCGAUGUCGGAUUAGCUAGUUGGCGGGGUAAAGGCCCACCAAGGCGACGAUCCGUAGCUGGUCUGAGAGGAUGAUCAGCCACACUGGAAAUGAGACACGGUACAGACUCCUACGGGAGGAAGCAGUGGGGAAUAUUGGACAAUGGGCGCAAGCCUGAUCCAGCCAUACCGCGUGGGUGAAGAAGGCCUUCGGGUUGUAAAGCCCUUUUGUUGGGAAAGAAAAGCAGCAGGUUAAUACCCCGCUGUUCUGACGGUACCCAAAGAAUAAGCACCGGCUAACUUCGUG